AGAGAGAAACUGGCAUGCUUGAAAAGCGUGGCUAGUUAGUUUUUCAAUGGUCACCUUUUUAAAGCGUGCCCAUAUCUUAUGUUUAUUUGGGCACCUUACAAAAGCGUACCGAUAGAGUUCCCUCCUUCCAAAAUUUAGUUUUCCACCCAUUUUUUUCACACUUCACUUUUUUUUUCUAAGUUUUAUGUUUUAACCUAGACUAGAAGUGUUGGUUUCGAAAAUCACUUCUCACCCUAUCUGGCGUCACUCACCCUUCUCAUCUCUAAACCCUAACUCCCUCUCCCAACAACGCCGCUGUCUCCCUCUCUCAACCCGUCACAACCCCUCCCUCCAACCCGUCGCAGCACCUACAUCCAUCCCUCCCUUGUCGCUCAUGCCCCACGCCGCCGUCUCCCUCUCUCACGCGUGGCGCCAACCAUCAGUACCACUCGUCAGCGCAACUCAUCAGCGCCACUCGUCAGCGGCAACCUGUCAGCGCCAACCGUCAUUCUGCUAGUGCCGACAUCUUUUGUGUUUAUAAGAAAUGAUUGGUGGCAUCUCCGUCGAGCUUGGCGUCGGAUGCAUCGCUGGCGUCAGCGGUAAAGAUUCGAUUCAUGGUUUAGAGUUUCUCUGAAGUCGCUGCUUGAAAGGUUCGAUUUCUUGCCCCUCGUCUUGCUUGAAACCAUCGUGAAGAAUUGCGAGAAGGCUUUCUCUGAAGUCGCUGCUGAGAGGGUUCUUGAUGAUAUGGUUAGGUUAAUUGACGAUCCUCAAACUGUUUUAAUAACCGCAACAAGGCUUUGAUCAUGAUUGAGGCUUGAGGCGAAUCCACCAUCGAGCUUCACUAUCUCCCUGUUUACGAAGAAACUUACAAGGUACUACUACCUUUUUUUUCCUAUUUCAUGCAUAUCUGCUUCAUUGUUAAGUUGAAGUCAAGGGACAAUUUCUGAUAAUCAUAUCAUGCCUAGAAACUCAAAAUCCUAGGCUAAAUUGAUUGGGUUAGUUACUAGCUCUAGCUGUUGAAUUUGCUAGUGUGGGUUAUUAUUAGUGUUAUUGUUGAUUGCUUGUUUCCAUUUUGUGGUUGAGUCUGAAAUCAAAGGGUAUUCGGUUCCCUGGCUGUCACAACGAGAGCUUGGCGCCUAUUUUCACUCCUCCGCGUUCGGUGUCUGAGGUUGAACUUGAUCUUCCACGCCAGACUCAGCAUAAUGAUAUUCCUGUGCAGAGUUUUACUCCUAAACAAACUAAGGAAGCUUUUGAUGUUGCUAGAAACAGCAUUGAACUUCUUUCUACUGUGUUGUCUUCUCCACAACAAGAUGUCUUGCAGUAAAGAAGAGAUUGCUCUUUUUUCCUAUCAACAAGGAUGUCUGGGUAUGGAUCUCUCCUAUUUCAAUCUGGGUAAAGAGUGUUGGUGUUCUGAUCUAGCUUGGUACCAAAUCCAACGCGUAUGAGUGAAGAAGGUCCUGUUUUACUUUGCUUUUGUGCAAGUUGAACUGGUUGCUCCUGCGUAGUUGUGAAGGAUUUUGGAGAAGAACAUGAAGCCUAUAAUGUCCUUCAGCACGUUAAAGCUCAAUGAGUAAGAAGAAUGGGAAGUAAAGAAACUGCAUUGAUAGUCAUGCAUGAAGAAUAUAAAAUCCUCAAGUGCUACAAAAAUGAUAGAAGUUCUUCCAAGAGGGCCAUCUCCUUUCUCUAAAGCACAAUGCUGUGAGCUACAAGAUUCAGCAUCAUGAGUUCUUGCUUAUAAACUGCGAAACUCAACAAUAUUAUGUUUGGAUUAUUGAUAUUUAUUUUUUAAUUUUUUUAUUUUCUACACAAAAAAUGACAGAGAUAGAAUAAGUUAAUGACUUUUAAUAAGUUGUAUAUGUAUUGAUAUUUUUUAUCCCACUGUAUUUUAUAACUACUUUGGUUAUAAGAGAUUGAUAUAGCUAAUUUGGUUUGAA